UUCAUAAUUCUUCUUCACUGCAGGCGAUAGGAUACUUCCUGGCCAAAGGUACUCUCUCUUCAGAAAAGACAGCAGAAAUACUGUCAGAGGCUGUGAGGCGCCUAGGCCAGAUUGGUUUCACAGUAAUUUCUGUGGUCUGUGACCAAUCGUCUUCUAACAUAAAGACACUAAAGCUGUUGGGAGCCAGCCUGGACAUUGCAGACGGCACAGAUGUGGCACACUGUAUAUCAGUGGAUGGGAAGAAAAUUCCACUGAUAUUCGAUGUGCCUCAUCUUGAAAAAUCUGUGCGUAACAACUUUAAAAAACAUGGUCUGAAGAUAGGAGCGAAAUAAGCCCAGUGGAAACACUUUGAAAUGUUUUAUGAUAUUGACAGACAGACCUCUAUCCGCAUGGCUCCAAAAAUAACUAGGAAGCAUGUAUCACUGCCGCCUUUCACGAACAUGCGAGUUCGACUUGCAACUCAAGUCUUCAGUCACACUGUGGCAGCCGGGAUGAAGACCAUGAUUGACCUAAAAAGGGUACCAAGUGAGGCACAUGCUACAGCGGAGUUCUUCGAGGAUAUGAACAGGCUGUUU